rnacentral:antisense_RNA from 1 species
AGGAACGAUUGAGUAUCCAAAAUAUGUACUUAGCACUGGAUUUUUUAAAUCACAGUAAAUUACGAAAAAAGUAGCCUCAAAAUCAUGAAAACCCUGCGGCAAAACCUCUUUUAUUAUUCCAUCGCAAGAAGAAUAGAGCUCUUCUUUUCUAUUAUUUUUGCCAUAAGUCACUACCCCGACUAAUUGUUUUGCUUUUACUGCUUGAUUACUAUUCGUAUUUGUAUUGAAAUAUAAAACAUCAUUUGGUAAUAAUCUGGAUUGAACCACUCCUUUUGCAAUAAGUAUACGACGUGAAACUAUCUUAGAAGGAAUAAUUUCACCUUCAAGUUUAAGCUGUUGAGUUUUAAUUUCUAGGCUGACUAAUGGGUAUAUUUCUUUACCAUUAAUUAUUUUCCCCAGUUUUUCCUUUUUCAGAGGCAAACAGUUCAGCAAUGAUUCUUUAAUCGAGUUUGAAGAUUCAUCGAAGCAAAAAACAUAAAAAAACUUCAUAAAACUAAG